GAUCCUUUCUCCCUUCUUCCUCUUGUUCUCUCUCGCGGAUGAACCGAAGCCAGCAAACCUUCGGAAAUCGUUGACGUCGCCUGGGGAGUACAUCGCCGGAGCUUGCCGGAGACCAAACCUGGAGGCUUGGAUCAUCCUGAUCUACUAUUCUCAUGUCUUCCCCGAGCUUUCCUCCUGGUUCUGCCGAUCCUUUCUCCCCCGAUCCGACGCCACUGAAUCGAUCCAAGAUCCAUCGAUCACCGGCGUGAAGGUGCCUUAGGGCUUCGAGGGUCACGGAUUGGAGACGUUGGGGAUCAGUGAGUUGUGCUUGGGUUGUCGGGCAGAGACUAGAGGGUCUGAUGCUUGAUCAGUGGACCUCCUCUUCGUUGUUGUUGACUGAGGUCCAGAUUGGAGCUGCUUGAUUAGGGCAGUGCGGUGAGGAGAGGUUCUAUUCUGUGAUCGUGAUGUGAAUCCAUCAAUGAUGAUCUGUUGAAGGUGAUCUUGGUUCAUGUGGUGUUUCCUUGCCGCCAGUACUCCAACCAGCAGCUCUUCUGGUUCCAGCAUCAACAGUAGCUGGGAAUUAAGGAUUCUGAUUCGAGAUGGGCGUCUCGACUUUGGAUUGCUUGACAGUACCUUCUAUUUGAG